AGCGUGUUCCCCCAAUCGGCGUGCGCCCUCAGGGCGCCUUGGGACGCGCAGUUUGGACAGAAGCAGCCAUGAUGUGCCAGGCGGCCUGUGCGACCAGUCUCCAUGGUGCUGGGGUGAGGGUGAAGGGAGGACCCGAGUCUUUUCCGGCGUCCGGCUGUCAGGGGUGGCGGAGGCAGGAAGAUUCCCCAGCUAAAUAGACUCUGGGAGACAGCCCCCAGACCCCCUUCUUCCCCCUCUCCACUGCCUUCUGGGGAAUCUCUGAGGGGCCGGUAGAGCAGUCGCGACAGGCUGUAAGAGGCGGGCUGCGGCUGGCGCCGGUCCCGGCGACGGCCACAGCGUGGCAGCAGCGAGCCCCCGACUCGGUCGCAAUAAAUAAUCUGCCCGCGGCAGCCGCAGUCAGGCAGCCGGACGCCCCACCAUGCAAAUUCGCCGCUUUAUCUGCCCCAAGCGCACCCACCGCGCGGGCGAACGUCCCAAACAUCUACACUCCUUUUUAAAUUAUCCAGUGCAUACCAAGGUUUCUUCUCAAAACGGAGAAACGACAACAGCAAAGAAAAAAACAAAUAAAAAGAAUUAAAGCCUAGAAUCUCGGGAUUGAUUCUUGUCGUUGUCCCGGGAGCUCCCCGGGGCAAAUCUGGGCUGAAGCGCACCAACUGAGCCGCAGUUCGUAUCAUCGCGCUAGGCAAAGCCACCGCUAGCAGACCCUCAGUACCUCCACCCGACUAGGUCCGCAGUACUCUCCCUGCUUGUGGGAGGUGGGGCUAGUGGACGCCAGACCCUUGUGCCGAGAAUUCCACCCAUCCACCUAUUCCCGCUCUCAGAGCUUCAGACACCUCUCAUCGGAAAACCGGGGAAAGGAUGCAAGCAAUCUGCGGAGAACUCUGGCUGAACUAAUGGCGGCUGCCAGAAGCUCCUGCCCCUCUGACAGCUGUCGCUUGGGCAGCCCGGGAGACGAAUUGUCCUCCUUCCUGGUGCCAGAGGACGCAGGAAAUUAGCCAGGUUGCGAGUUGCAAAACGGCCGCUGCGGCGCCAGGACCUGGGCGCGCCCCACCUCCAGCGCGAGCAGCCCGGCCAGGCCUGGCUGGGGCUUCCCUUUGCUCGCCAUCGCGGGACAAAGC